rnacentral:lncRNA from 1 species
CAGACUCCACACUCGACUCAAUCACAAGACUGAUACUAAAGACAUACCACAAGACUCACAAAUUAUCAUCUAAGGUCUUUUAUUCACUAUUCUAACAAUGGAUACGCAAGGGGUGCCUCCCAAGAGCGCUCUUUCUUUUUCGUCUUUGAGCUAGACGAUACCUGGAUUACGCUCCCCAACUUAGAACCUCCUUGAAUUCCAUUAGCUUCUUCAAGGAUUGGAGUUGAAUGCCAAGUAGCACCCUUAGAGAGAGAUGAAGGAGCUGAAGCGGUUGUGCGUGACAACUCUUUCCUUGUUGUGGCUUCCUCCUUGUGGAUGUGUACGCUUGAAGAGGGUAGAGGUAGGUUGGUGAGUGAACAUCAAGCUCUACAAUGCUCCCCAAG